GGGGAAUAUUGCACAAUGGGCGAAAGCCUGAUGCAGCAAUGCCGCGUGUGUGAAGAAGGCCUGCGGGUUGUAAAGCACUUUCGGUAGGGAAGAUUAUGACGGUACCUACAGAAGAAGCACCGGCUAACUCCGUGCCAGCAGCCGCGGUAAUACGGAGGGUGCAAGCGUUAAUCGGAAUUACUGGGCGUAAAGCGCGCGUAGGCGGUCUUGUAAGUCGGAUGUGAAAGCCCCGGGCUUAACCUGGGAACUGCAUUCGAUACUGCUUGACUAGAGUAUGGUAGAGGGUAGCGGAAUUCCGGGUGUAGCGGUGAAAUGCGUAGAUACCCGGAGGAACACCAGUGGCGAAGGCGGCUACCUGGACCAAUACUGACGCUGAGGUGCGAAAGCGUGGGGAGCAAA
rnacentral:rRNA from 1 species